rnacentral:rRNA from 1 species
AACGAACGCUGGCGGCAGGCCUAACACAUGCAAGUCGAGCGAGGACUUCGGGUCUAGCGGCGGACGGGGGAGUAACGCGUGGGAAGGUGCCCUUCUCUACGGAAUAGCCCUGGGAAACGGGGAGUAAUACCGUAUACGCCCUAUUGGGGAAAGAUUUAUCGGAGAAGGAUCAGCCCGCGUUGGAUUAGGUAGUUGGUGGGGUAAUGGCCUACCAAGCCGACGAUCCAUAGCUGGUUUGAGAGGAUGAUCAGCCACCCUGGGACUGAGACACGGCCCAGACUCCUACGGGAGGCAGCAGUGGCGAAUCUUAGACAAUGGGGGCAACCCUGAUCUAGCCAUGCCGCGUGAGUGAUGAAGGCCUUAGGGUUGUAAAGCUCUUUCAGCUGGGAAGAUCAUGACGGUACCAGCAGAAGAAGCCCCGGCUAACUCCGUG